UGUUUAGAGCUUGGAUAUGAGAAUGUAGUUGUGUAUAAGGGAAGCUGGCUGGAAUGGACCAGCAAGGGGGCUAAGGUUGCUAAGCCUGAAUAAACAUCGAUAAUCAGCCUGAAGAACCAUUCAAGCAUUUAAAUUCAAGCAACCGUCAAGAAACAACCUUCAAAAGCGUACUGCAGAUCAGUCAUAAUUGUUCUGCACAAGUUUAAAUCAAAAUCACAAGAAAAUACUGUUAUGUUUUAUUCACAUAAACUGUCUUAACAUGUUAUCUCACUAAAUUAUAAUUUAUUAUUUA